AUGAACGUUGGCGGCGUGGAUUAGGCAUGCAAGUCGAGCGAUAACCCUCCGCAAGGAGGGGGAAAGCGGCGAAAGGGAGAGUAACACGUGGAUUAUUUGCCCUCAGGACUGGGAUAGCCACGGGAAACCGUGGGUAAUACCGGAUGACGUCUGCGAACUUAAAGUUUGUGGACCAAAGGUGUGAUUCCGCCAGAGGAUAAGUCCGCGUCCUAUUAGCUAGUUGGUAGGGUAACGGCCUACCAAGGCAAUGAUGGGUACUGGGUGUGAGAGCACGACCCAGCUCACUGGGACUGAGACACUGCCCAGACACCUACGGGUGGCUGCAGUCGAGGAUCUUCGGCAAUGGGCGCAAGCCUGACCGAGCGACGCCGCGUGUGGGAUGAAGGCCUUCGGGUUGUAAACCGCUGUCAGUGGGGAGGAAAUGCCUAGGGGUUCUCCCCUAGGUUUGACCUAUCCGCAGAGGAAGUCAGGGCUAAGUUCGU
rnacentral:rRNA from 1 species